GGAAUAUUGGACAAUGGGCGCAAGCCUGAUCCAGCCAUGCCGCGUGCAGGAUGACGGUCCUAUGGAUUGUAAACUGCUUUUAUACGAGAAGAAACAACUCUACGUGUAGAGUCUUGACGGUAUCGUAAGAAUAAGGAUCGGCUAACUCCGUGCCAGCAGCCGCGGUAAUACGGAGGAUCCAAGCGUUAUCCGGAAUCAUUGGGUUUAAAGGGUCCGUAGGCGGUUUAAUAAGUCAGUGGUGAAAGCCCAUCGCUCAACGGUGGAACGGCCAUUGAUACUGUUAGACUUGAAUUAUUAGGAAGUAACUAGAAUAUGUAGUGUAGCGGUGAAAUGCUUAGAGAUUACAUGGAAUACCAAUUGCGAAGGCAGGUUACUACUAAUUGAUUGACGCUGAUGGACGAAAGCGUGGGUAGCGAACAGGAUUAGAUACCCGGG
rnacentral:rRNA from 1 species